rnacentral:lncRNA from 10 species
CUCACUUCGAGGCGUUCUUCCACUACCGGUCCAAUGUUCCUAGAAGGCAAUGCAAUUUGUGGACAAGCCCAUGAAACCCAAAGGUGAAAAAGGGAAACAGGUUUACACAGACAGCCCUUCCUGCCACGUCUCCAGACAUUCCUGCUGGAAUCUAAUCACCUUUGUCUUUAACCAGGCUUCCUGCCCACAUCUUACCAGUUCUGUUCUAGCAGCAAAGUUUGCUUUACUUUCCUGAGGAUACGCACGUGCACCCUGGAUCUCAUCUCCACAUGCAGGGUGGUGGGUCCCUUCCAUUUCUAUUUCCUGGCUCAUCACCUGUCUUCAUGCUUGGGACUACCUUUCUGUUGAAGGCCCACCUAUGGCUUCCCAUGGACCAAUCAGCACGUACUUCCUCACUUCUGAAUCCAUAAAAAUCCCUGACUCAGCUAGACUCCAUGCUCUUUGGGACGACCUGACUGCAGAUAGGAGCCACCCACUUCAGGAUUCCUCUACUUUGUUUGAGAUGACCUGCCUGUGGAUAGGAGCUACCCAUUUCUGGUCUCCUCUACACUCUUCAGGACAACCUGUCCACACAUAGCAGCUACCCACAUCGGGACUUCUCUAUAUUCUUCAGGAAAACCUGCACAUGGAUUGGAGCUACCCACAUUGGGAGUCCUCUACAUUCUUCAGGAUGACCUGCCUGUGGAGAGGAGUUACCCAUUUCAAGUCUCUACACUCUUAGGGAUGACUGCCCACAGAUGGGAGCUAUCCACUUCAAGUCUCCUCUAUACUCUUCAGGACAACCUGCCUGUGGAUAGGAGCUACCCACUUCAGGAUGCCUCUAAACUCUCUGGAUGAUCUGCCUGUAGAUAGCAGCUACCCACUUCAAGACUUUUCUAAACUCUUCAGGACAACCCACCCAUAGAUUGGAGCUACCCAAAUUUGGACUCCACUACACUCUUUGGGAUGACCUGCCUGUGGAUAGGAGUUAGCCACUUUGAGUCUCUAUACUCUUAGGGGUGACCUGUCUACAGAUAGGAGCUACACACUUCAGGUCCCCUCUCUGCUGAGACCUGUUCUGUCACUCAGUAAAGCUCCUCCUCACAUUGCUCAACCUCCAGUUGUCCAUGUAGCUUCAUUCUUCCUGGACAUGGGACAAGAACUUGGGACCUACUGAACAACAGGAGCGAAAAGAGCUGUUACCCAUUCCUGGAUGGCUGGCUGAGCUGUGGGCAAUGACAAGCUCCUGGACUGUGGGAGUGAAGAGUGGCACCCCUUCUGGGGGCCCAGACCUCAGGAUUCCCUGAGCCAGAGCUGCUGUAACACUAUAGUCCUCACACCCUCCAACAGUGCCGGGUGGCUGCCCCACACGACAGGAAGCAGUAGCAGGGCCAGGUCAGCCCAGCGGCUGCAGGCUGGGGAGGCAUAGCAGGACUGAAGGAGCUGUAACACAAACAGACUGAAACACACAAACACUGGAAACACCUCCCUGCUCACCACGCUUCAGGUGGCAAAAAGGAGAGAAGAGCUGAAGCCCUUCUGGGAUCCCAGACCUUGGGGCUCCACAAGCCUGAGCUGUGACAUGCUGUAACACCCUCUCUGGGGUUCUGUGGUUUUUGGCAUCUUCAAGCUUUUGGGCACUACCAUGUUCCCUGGCGCCUUCAGUAGAAACUGUUUGCGAUACGCCUGGUCCAGUUGCAGCGUCACACAGAGCUGGCAUCUGUGCUGGUACCAGGAGCUGCCCACCCACUGGCACUGCGCAGUGGCUGGACCUGUGCUUGCUCGGUCUUACACCCCCUUGCUGCUCCAUGCCUGGCUCACCCUUGGCAGGUGUGGGAUCUGGGCUGGUAGCGAGAGCCAAGCACAGCCUGCCAGGCCGAGUGGGUGGAAUGAGCCCAGUGGGAGCAAACAAAACCAAAGCAGAGGGACCGCCAGCCAUCAUGGAGGUUUCCUGCUGGAGAAGUGACAUCCUAAGGACCCUGUGACAGCCAUAUCCUCGCAGCCUCACGUCCUCACUGCAUCUCAGGGGGAAGAUACCCACCUGGGCGUCAGUAACAGCUGCUUUCCACCUUGGGAGAGUUUGCAAGAGAAAGAGAAAGAGAAAGAACAAGAAAAAGAUAAUGAAAGCCAGAAAAAAUGAAAAAGUAAGAGGGAAUUUUACUGAUUAGAAAUAGAAAACAAGCCUGCAGCUCAGGUCUCUGGCUGCCCUGAGGACACACAGAGCAGAGGAGGUGGCGGUUCACCAUGAGCUCCUGCACCGGCUGCACUCAG